rnacentral:rRNA from 1 species
UACGAGGGGGGCGAGCGUUGUUCGGAAUUAUUGGGCGUAAAGGGCGCGUAGGCGGUGCGGUAAGUCACCUGUGAAACCUCUAGGCUUAACCUAGAGCCUGCAGGCGAAACUGCCGUGCUGGAGUGUGGGAGAGGUGCGUGGAAUUCCCGGUGUAGCGGUGAAAUGCGUAGAUAUCGGAAGGAACGCCGGUGGCGAAAGCGGCGUGCUGGACCCCUUCUGACGCUGAGGCGCGAAAGCCAGGGGAGCAAACGGG